rnacentral:lncRNA from 1 species
AUUUCUUAAUUGAUUUGAGAUUUAUUUGAGAUUUUAGUCCAAUUAUGUUAUUUUUCUUCAUUUUUAAUUGUUUGAAAUUAGUUUCUAAUUUCAAAAAAUGUUGAGAAAAUUUGUCAAACCUUGUUUGACCAUGUUAGACUUAUGAUGAUCCAAUUGGACUUAUUCAAGUUGAUUUAAAUUGGAUUUGAAGUUUGACCUUUAUUUGUUU